AGGGAUCAUUACACAAAUAUGAAGGCGGGCUGGAACCUCUCGGGGUUACAGCCUUGCUGAAUUAUUCACCCUUGUCUUUUGCGUACUUCUUGUUUCCUUGGUGGGUUCGCCCACCACUAGGACAAACAUAAACCUUUUGUAAUUGCAAUCAGCGUCAGUAACAAAUUAAUAAUUACAACUUUCAACAACGGAUCUCUUGGUUCUGGCAUCGAUGAAGAACGCAGCGAAAUGCGAUAAGUAGUGUGAAUUGCAGAAUUCAGUGAAUCAUCGAAUCUUUGAACGCACAUUGCGCCCUUUGGUAUUCCAAAGGGCAUGCCUGUUCGAGCGUCAUUUGUACCCUCAAGCUUUGCUUGGUGUUGGGCGUCUUGUCUCUAGCUUUGCUGGAGACUCGCCUUAAAGUAAUUGGCAGCCGGCCUACUGGUUUCGGAGCGCAGCACAAGUCGCACUCUCUAUCAGCAAAGGUCUAGCAUCCAUUAAGCCUUUUUUCAACUUUUGACCUCGGAUCAGGUAGGG
rnacentral:rRNA from 1 species